CGGGUGGCCUCCGAGGUGCAGGCGCGCGCCUAACGGCUUUGCGAGGCUCACUAGGUCUGAGAGACUUGCUCUACAUUUGGCCUGUGCUAAUGCCUGUGUGGAAGUGGUCACUCUCCUGCUGAGCAGAAAAUGCCAGACUGACGUUUGUGACAAUCAAAACAGUACGCCUUUGAUACAGGCUGUACAUUGCCAGGAAGAGACUUGUGCCAACAUUCUGCUGGAACAUGGUGCCAAUCCAAAUCUUAAGGAUAUCUACGGCAACACUGCUCUCCAUUAUGCUGAGUGUAAUGAGAGUACGUCACUGGCAGAAAAACUGCUUUCCCAUGACGCAAAUAUUGAAGCACUGGACAAGUGACCCAUUUGGAGCAGCAGUGCCUGACAUUAGCACCUGGGAUCCUGACACCAUUGACAGAAGUGAAUCAAGCAAGUUUGUACCACACAUAGGAAACCUUCACCUCUUUGGGAAGCUCUGGCAACAGUAUCUCUGAAACUCUUAAUUCCUCAAUUGUUAAUGUUUGCCACAAAACUAUUGUCAAAUGGAGAUUAGGUGAAGUUUAAGACAUUUCUUGAUUGUUGGACAUGAAAUAGUUUCGUGACUUCUCAAAUGCAGACGGUCAUGUAGUCUUUGUCUUGGGGUACUUCUGGUAAAGCAAAUAUUCUUUAAAAUAUAGUUUAAGAAACACUGCUCUAGAUAUAAUAAUUUAGAUGAUUAAUUUAUGUAAAAAAGCUUAAAGUAUUUGCUACUAUGUCUUAGGUCUUCGGGGCUAUAGAGACAAAAGAUACAGCCCUUGCUCUCAAGAAGCUCUUGGUUUCAGAGGGAAGCAAUAAAAUGAUUACAAUAUACUAUGCUAAGUGCUGUGCGAAAAGCAAGGAUUCUUGGGACUGGUAAGUAUUUGAAGUGAGUUUUGGCGAUGACCACAGUUAAUGUGGGGAAGCAGAGGAGGGCUGUUUGCAAGGCAAAGUGUAGUGCGUGAGGAAACAGAGGAGUGAGAAGGACGGAACUGCUUUUCAUUUACUUCCUGUCUAUAUUGUAUGUUGAAGUUCAAAGCAUCUUAGAGCAGAUUUU